UACGGAGGAUGCAAGCGUUAUCCGGAAUGAUUGGGCGUAAAGCGUCCGCAGGUGGCUGUGUAAGUCUGCUGUUAAAGAGUCUAGCUCAACUAGAUAAAAGCAGUGGAAACUACAUAGCUAGAGUACGUUCGGGGCAGAGGGAAUUCCUGGUGUAGCGGUGAAAUGCGUAGAGAUCAGGAAGAACACCAGUGGCGAAGGCGCUCUGCUAGGCCGUAACUGACACUGAGGGACGAAAGCUAGGGGAGCGAAUGGG
rnacentral:rRNA from 1 species